rnacentral:rRNA from 1 species
CGGUCCAGACUCCUACGGGAGGCAGCAGUAGGGAAUCUUCCGCAAUGGGCGAAAGCCUGACGGAGCAACGCCGCGUGAGUGAUGAAGGUCUUCGGAUCGUAAAACUCUGUUAUUAGGGAAGAACAUACGUGUAAGUAACUAUGCACGUCUUGACGGUACCUAAUCAGAAAGCCACGGCUAA